rnacentral:rRNA from 1 species
AGAACGAACGCUGGCGGCGCGCCUAAUACAUGCAAGUCGAGCGAGAAGGUGUAGCAAUACACUUGUAAAGCGGCGAACGGGUGAGAAAUACAUGGGUAACCUACCAUCGAGUGGGGAAUAACCAGCCGAAAGGUUGGCUAAUACCGCGUACGCCUCCGAGUCUUCGGAUUCGGAGGGAAAGCCGCACUGAGAGUGCGGCGCUCUUUGAUGGGCUCAUGUCCUAUCAGCUUGUUGGUAGGUAACGGCCUACCAAGGCUUUGACGGGUAGCUGGUCUGAGAGGACGAUCAGCCACACUGGCACUGCGACACGGGCCAGACUCCGUACGGGAGGCAGCAGGUAAGGAAUAGUUGGACGUCAAGUGGGACGGAAAGCCGUGACGACGAGCCGAACGCCGGCGGUAGGGGGAUGGAAGGUCGUUCGGAUUACGGUUAAACCCGUUUCGGGAAGGGAACGGUAGUAGGGAACGAGUACGAAA